CCCUUAGAUGUUCUGGGCUGCACACGUGCUACACUGGCAGGUUCAGCGAGCUUCAUGCCCUGAUCUGAAAGGAAUGGGAAAUCUUUUCAAAACCUGCCGUGCUUGGGAUAGAUGUUUGCAAUUAUUCAUCUUCAACGAGGAUUGCCUUGUAAGCGCACGUCACCAGCGUGCAUUGAAUACGACCCUGUAUUCUGUACACACCGCCCGUCGCUCCUACCGAUUGAAGUUUUCGGUGAGUUGACAGGAGGAUUUUUUUGAAACUGGUUCGCCAGUGGAUUUUAGAUCCAAAUGCCAACGAAUCGAGGGCUUUAGAGGAAGGAGAAGUCGUAACA
rnacentral:rRNA from 1 species